AUGGCGGCUGAGGGCGGGAGCAGGGAGGAGAGGUGGACCCUGGCCGGCGCCAGGGCGCUCAUCACCGGCAGCAGCAAAGGGAUCGGGUACGCCAUCGUGGAGGAGCUCGCCGGGUUCGGUGCGAGGGUGCACGCCUGCUCCCGGAACGCGGCGGAGCUGGAGGAGUGCCGACGGCGGUGGGAGGAGAAGGGCCUGCAUGUCACCGUCUCCGUGCGCGCCGACAGGGAGAAGCUCAUGGACACCGUCCGGCAGACCUUCAACGGCAAGCUGGACAUACUAGUGAACAACGCGGGGCAGCUGCUGGUGAAGCCCACCGCGGAGUGCACGGCGGAGGAGUACUCCAAGGUGAUGGCUACCAACCUGGAGUCGAGCUUCCAUCUCUGCCAACUCGCGCGCCCUCUUCUCGUACACGCCGGAGGAGGCAGCAUCAUCAACAUGUCCUCCAUUGGAGGCUCAAUUGGCUUCGUAGGCUCCGCAAUCUACGCUAUCACAAAAAGUGCUAUGAACCAACUGACCAGGAGUUUGGCCACCGAGUGGGCCCCUGACAAGAUCCGUGUGAACGGUGUUGCCCCAGGAUUUAUCACAACCGAUAUGAUUAAAGAUAUGGAUACGGAGUACAUGGAACAGGAGCACUCCAAAACCCCGUUGCGGCGGAGUGGCAAGCCAGCCGAGAUCGCCUCCGCGGUGGCAUUUCUGUGCAUGCCGGCGGCUUCCUUCAUCACCGGCCAGGUCAUCUGCGUCGACGGUGGUCGAACCAUUAGUGCUUAA
rnacentral:rRNA from 1 species